rnacentral:ncRNA from 1 species
UCUUCAAACAAAUUUUAAAAAUAAGUAUUUUUCAUGAAACAGAUCAAUUUUGCUUUCAAAAGCGAUUCUGACGUUCAAAUCGUUCGUCUCACUUUGGUAUAGGAGUGAAAGACUAAUCGAACAAUCUUGUAGAUAGUUCUCCCUGAAGUUUCCAGCUUCUCAGGCUGCUUCUCAUGAUAGCUGGAGUACGUAAUGAACCUGUUAUAUCGGAUAAAAAUGAUUAGAGGAACUGUGGGAUGAAAGGUUUUCAAUCUAUUCUCAAACUUUCAGUGAGUAUGGUGUUUCGGUUGCUUGAAUGAAGCGUAGACAUUGAAUCUGUUUUCCAAGUGGGCCAUUUUUGGAAGCGGAACUGGAAUUGUGGAUGGACAAACAUUAAUUUAAGAUAAAAGGAAGUUUGGAAUUUAUACUUUAUUGCAAUCAAGCAAAAUGAAUAUUUGUCGAUGUA